UGGGGAAUUUUGGACAAUGGGCGAAAGCCUGAUCCAGCAAUGCCGCGUGUGUGAAGAAGGCCUUCGGGUUGUAAAGCACUUUUGUCCGGAAAGAAAUCCUCUGGGUUAAUACCUCGGGGGGAUGACGGUACCGGAAGAAUAAGCACCGGCUAACUACGUGCCAGCAGCCGCGGUAAUACGUAGGGUGCAAGCGUUAAUCGGAAUUACUGGGCGUAAAGCGUGCGCAGGCGGUUUUGUAAGACGGAUGUGAAAUCCCCGGGCUUAACCUGGGAACUGCAUUCGUGACUGCAAGGCUAGAGUAUGGCAGAGGGGGGUAGAAUUCCACGCGUAGCAGUGAAAUGCGUAGAGAUGUGGAGGAAUACCGAUGGCGAAGGCAGCCCCCUGGGCCAAUACUGACGCUCAUGCACGAAAGCGUGGGGAGCAAACAGGAUUAGAUACCCUGGUAGUCCACGCCCUAAACGAUGUCAACUAGUUGUUGGGGAUUCAUUUCCUUAGUAACGUAGCUAACGCGUGAAGUUGACCGCCUGGGGAGUACGGUCGCAAGAUUAAAACUUAAAGGAAUUGACGGGGUCAUAGCUGUUUCCU
rnacentral:rRNA from 1 species